rnacentral:lncRNA from 1 species
CUGGGCCUUCCUGAGGAGACGGAAAGCAGUGAACCUCUGUAAAAGCUUAGAGCAGUUUAGCAUCUUUGCCUUUUGCCUGGAGGUGCCCGUGAUACUUGCCCUUGUGUAGGAGGAGAGCUCUGCUGCUGAUUCCGGGUGCUUGUCCUCCAUGACCAUCUCCUCACCGCUGUGGAUGGAUCCACUCUUUCCCUGAUUCUGGGUGCCUGUCCUCCAUGAGCAUCUUCUCACCACUGUGGAUGGAUCUGCUCUUUCCCUGAUUCUGGGUGCCUGUCCUCCAUGACCUCCAUGACCAUCUCCUCACCGCUGUGGAUGGAUCCGCUGUUUCCCUGAUUCCGGGUGCCUGUCCUCCAUGACCAUCUCCUCACCGCUGUGGAUGGAUCCGCUGUUUCCCUGAUUCUGGGUGCCUGUCCUCCAUGAGCAUCUUCUCACCACUGUGGAUGGAUCCACUCUUUCCCUGAUUCUGGGUGCCUGUCCUCCAUGAGCAUCUUCUCACCACUGUGGAUGGAUCUGCUCUUUCCCUGAUUCCGGGUGCCUGUCCUCCAUGACCAUCUCCUCACCGCUGUGGAUGGAUCUGCUCUUUCCGUGAUUCCGGGUGUCUGUCCUCCAUGACCUCCAUGACCAUCUCCUCACCGCUGUGGAUGGAUCCACUCUUUCCCUGAUUCUGGGUGCCUGUCCUCCAUGACCAUCUCCUCACCGCUGUGGAUGGAUCUGCUCUUUCCGUGAUUCCGGGUGUCUGUCCUCCAUGACCUCCAUGACCAUCUCCUCACCGCUGUGGAUGGAUCUGCUCUUUCCCACUGGCCUGUGCUGGCUCCAGCUACCUGGGCAUCACGUACGUGAGGUCUCCUCCUGGGGACACAGCUAUUCUCUUUCACAGUUUAUUUCUUCAUCCUCCAGUGACAAAUAAGUCAACUCUGCAGCUUUUGAAUAAGGCUUGAUAACGACUCUCAGCCAAAUAUCGCAGCUUUUCUUCUUCCAUGCUGUCUUGGCCAUUUGGGUUCUUUAUACCUGUGUGGAUCACAGGAUCAUCUUGUCAAGUGAAAAGCCUCUGUUGGGUUUCAAUGGAAUUGCAUUUAUAUUUAUAGGCUGACUUGGGAGAUUAUGACGAUCUUCAUAACAAGUCUUCAUGUCAGUUAACCUAGUUCUAUUCUAUGCACCUCAGUAAAUUUUUAAAUUUUUUUCUUAAAAUUAUGCCCAUAUUUUCUUACAUGUAUCCCUAUAUGCCUUUUCUGUAUAAUAAAUAAAAUUGGAAUUUUAAGUUAGGUGCAUGUACCUGUAUGUAUGUUACUGUGUUUAUUUUGUAUCCUGCAGCCUUAUUAAACCCUCUCACUAGUUUUGGGAAUUUGCCUGUGGGUUCUGUGGGAUUUUCAGUGCCUGCAAUCAAA